CAGUAGCCGCGGGAAUACGAAGGGUGCAAGCGUUACUCGGAAUUACUGGGCGUAAAGCGUGCGUAGGUGGUGGUUUAAGUCCGUUGUGAAAGCCCUGGGCUCAACCUGGGAAUUGCAGUGGAUACUGGGUCACUAGAGUGUGGUAGAGGAUAGUGGAAUUUCCGGUGUAGCAGUGAAAUGCGUAGAGAUCGGAAGGAACAUCUGUGGCGAAGGCGACUAUCUGGGCCAACACUGACACUGAGGCACGAAAGCGUGGGGGGCAAACAGGAUUAGAUACCCCUGUAGUCCCUGUCUCUUAUAC
rnacentral:rRNA from 1 species